AUCACUCCUCGUCCUUUUGGAUAUGAUAAUGUGUAGUAUCUGUUCUUGUCAGCAUAAUAUCUGGAAUGCUGGGCAUUGCCUGGCACCAAUUUCAAAUUGGUUUUUGCUUCUCGAUUUAACACCGAAGCUUGGCUUCAGUUGACUCACGGAGUGUCCCGGUCUUGCACUACCAUCAUGAUAAGUCUGCUUUAA